rnacentral:lncRNA from 8 species
UUGAAUAGAGCAUCAAGGAUCGGUAGUAGAUCGUUUUUUCCUUAACAAAAAAGCUUGACAGGAGGGGGGCUCGUAAAAGGAAAUGGAUGUACAGUACCAGUCAAAAGUUUGGACACACCUACUCAUUCAAGGGUUUGUCUUUAUUUUUACUAUUUUCUGUAGCAAUGACCUCCAAUUAGAGAAAGCUGGUUGUUGUUGUCUCUAAUUAGAGGCCAUAUUUAGUUGUGUUCGUUUCACUUGUGUUUUGUGGGUGGUUGUUUUCUGUAUAGCCGUGUGCCUUACAGAACUGUUGAUUGUCGUUUGUUAUUUUUGUUUAAGUGUUCACUCUAAAUAAAUACACAAAGAUGAGCACUAUACCCGCUGCGUUUUGGUCACCUUUUAUCGACGCCUGUGACAGAACCACCCACCAAAGAAGGACCAAGCAGUGGAGGAAGGAGCAGCAGGAGAGCUAUUUGGAGUCAUGGACAUGGGAGGAGAUCCUCGAUGGUAAGGGUCCAUGGAGCCAGGCUGGGGAGUACCAGCGCCUGAAGGAGGAGCUGGAGGAAGCUAAGAGGGAACGACGGAGGUAUGAGGCAGCCCCAAAAUUAUUUGGGGGGGGGGAGGCAUACAGGGAGUUGGGCUAAGUCAGGGGGGAGCCCUGACCUAACUUCCCGGGCAUACAGGAGAGAGCCGUGGAGCAAAAAGGAGCCAGUCAAGGAAUCAAGCGAGGAGCUUGACGCGAGAUUCCGGAGAGAGGUACUGGCGGAAAGGCCACGAAGGAGCACCUGUGCUUACUAUGGGGAGCGACGGAUCAAGCAAGCACCAUGUUAUGCGGAGAUACGCACGGUAUCGCCAGUGCGCAGCUACAGCCCAGUGCGCUUGGUGAAAGCUCCUCACAGGUGUCAUGCUAGAGCCAGCAUCGAGCCAGGACAGGUGAUGCAAGAUGCAAGCAUCAGACCGCCGGUGAGGGUUCAUGGCCCAGUGUAUCCUGUUCCUGCUCCUCGUACUCUUCCUCCAGUGAGUCAGCCCAGUCCAGUAUGUCCUGUUCCUGCUCUCCGCACUAGCCUUGAGGUGCGUGUUACUAGUCUAGCGCCUCCAAAGUCAGCCCCACGCAUCAGGCCUCCAGUGUGUCUGCCCAGUCCGGUAUGUCCUGUUCCUACUCCUCGCACUAGCCCUGUGGUGCGUGUUACUGUUCUGGCUCCUCCAAAGCCAGCCCCACGCUUCAGGCCUCCAGUGCGCCUGCCCAGCCCAGUACGUCCUGUUCCUCGCACUAGCCCUGUGGUGCGGGUUACUAGUCUGGUGUCUCCAAAGCCACCCCCACGCAUCAGGCCUCCAGUGUGUCUGCCCAGUCCGGUACGUCCUGUUCCUGCUCCUCGCACUAGCCCUGUGGUGCGGGUUACUAGUCUGGCGACUCCUAAGCCAGCCCCACGCAUCAGGCCUCCAGUGCGCAGUCCCCGUCCAGAGCUUCCGGCGACAGUUUGCCGUCCAGAGCUUCUGGCGACAGUUCCCCGUCCAGUGCUUCUGGCGACGUCCUACAGUCCGGAACCGACAGAGACGGCCUACAGUCCGGAACCGGCAGAGACGGCCUACAGUCCGGAACCUGCAGAGACGGCCUACAGUCCGGAGCUUCCAGCGACGCUCCCCAGCCCUGAGCUUCCAGCGACGCUCCCCAGCCCUGAGCUUCCAGCGACGCCUCCCAGCCAGGAGUCUCCAGCGACGCCGGCCCAGCCAGGAGUCUCCAGCGACGCCCCCCAGCCAGGAGUCUCCAGCGACGUUCCCCAGCCAGGAGUCUCCAGCGACGCUCCCUAGCCCGGAGCCUCCAGCGACGCUC